GCCAAUGGUUUUCCUUAGAGGCUUUGAAAUAACACCACCUGUGGUCUUACGGUUGAAAUGCGGUUCAGGGCCUGUGCAUAUUAGUGGACAGCACUUAGUAGCUGUGGAGGAAGAUGCAGAGUCAGAAGAUGAAGAGGAAGAGGAUGUGAAACUCCUUAGUAUAUCUGGAAAGCGUUCUGCCCCUGGAAGUGGUAGCAAGGUUCCACAGAAAAAAGUAAAACUUGCUGCCGAUGAAGAUGAUGAUGAAG